CCAAUCAGAGAUGAUGAGCUCUUCUCUUAUCUGUUCAUGGGGCUUGAUUCUAAAUAUGAUUCAAUUGUUACUUCACUGACCACUCAGAGUUGAUGAUCUUACCUUUGAUGAUGUGUAUGAACAUCACAUGGCCUUUGAGA